rnacentral:rRNA from 1 species
UGGGGAAUAUUGCACAAUGGGCGCAAGCCUGAUGCAGCCAUGCCGCGUGUGUGAAGAAGGCCUUCGGGUUGUAAAGCACUUUCAGCGGGGAGGAAGGCGAUAAGGUUAAUAACCUUGUCGAUUGACGUUACCCGCAGAAGAAGCACCGGCUAACUCCGUGCCAGCAGCCGCGGUAAUACGGAGGGUGCAAGCGUUAAUCGGAAUUACUGGGCGUAAAGCGCACGCAGGCGGUCUGUCAAGUCGGAUGUGAAAUCCCCGGGCUCAACCUGGGAACUGCAUUCGAAACUGGCAGGCUAGAGUCUUGUAGAGGGGGGUAGAAUUCCAGGUGUGGCGGUGAAAUGCGUAGAGAUCUGGAGGAAUACCGGUGGCGAAGGCGGCCCCCUGGACAAAGACUGACGCUCAGGUGCGAAAGCGUGGGGAGCAAACAGG